rnacentral:rRNA from 1 species
CGUGCUUAACACAUGCAAGUCGAACGAGGGAAUUCUUUUCGGAGAAUAUACCGAGUGGCAAACGGGUGAGUAACGCGUAGGCAACCUGCCUUCAAGAUGGGGACAACAGUCCGAAAGGGCUGCUAAUACCGAAUGACAUGUCUGAACCGCAUGGGACGGACAGCAAAGACGGCCUCCAAACUAUGCUGUCGCUUGAAGAUGGGCCUGCGUCUGAUUAGCUAGUUGGUGAGAUAACAGCCCACCAAGGCGACGAUCAGUAGCCGGUCUGAGAGGAUGAACGGCCACAUUGGGACUGAGACACGGCCCAGACUCCUACGGGAGGCAGCAGUGGGGAAUCUUCCGCAAUGGGCGAAAGCCUGACGGAGCAACGCCGCGUGAGUGAAGAAGGUCUUCGGAUCGUAAAGCUCUGUUGAAGGGGACGCACGGCGCCUGUUGCAAGAUAGCAGGUGAAUGACGGUACCCUUCGAGGAAGCCACGGCUAACUACGUG